GCUUUUUUCCACCUCCCUGGGAAAGACAUUUGCCUCCAGUCACUUCUUCCUGGCAGAUCCCAUCACCGUUAAGAGGCCUGUUACCAGUCAGCUGUUGACAGCAGGGGCUUUUUGCAGGUGGGGCUUGUCUGUGAAACACAUUUGUUUCCACUUAGCCAUCUGAAACAUCUACCUUGGGUGAAACAGGCAGGGAUGCUUCCUGCUCCUGAGCCCUAGAGGUAAAGAUUUGCAAGGGCUGCUGGCAUCCCGUAGGGGUAACCACCCCUAGUGUAGUGAUAUUAAGGCGAGCAAGCUAAUGCUCUAGGCAGAAGCUGGAAGCCACCCCCAGAGCACAGGGUGGGAUUUCUGAUAGCAAAAGCUGGCACCUUCUGGCCCUGCAGAGAGCCUGUACAGUGUAAUGAAUUCAAUAUCCCUCUGCCACGGAGAGCCAUCCCGAAUGAGCUUUGCUGUCAUUGUUAGGAGGAGCAGCCCCACUCACAGCGCCUCCCUCCUGCUCCAGCAGCCCCUCGGUGGACCCCAGGCAGGUGGGAGGAUUAAAGGCAGAAGAGGAAUAACGCUGAUCUUGACACGCUUCAGUCGCUGCUGCGGAGUUACGGGCGCGAAUCCAUUCCCAGGAAGCCACCAGUCGGAUCUGUAAAAGGGCAGGAGAUGAAGUAUUCCCAGCAAGAGCAAGUAAAUCACACUGGGAAGGAGACAGGAGGAGAGGGAAGGCCCCCUGAGCCCCGUGCAGAUGCUGCCUGCUCUGUGCCGGGGCUGGCAGCGAUGCGGGGACCAAGGCGAUGCUCGUGGCACCGCCUGUGGGGCAGCAGCGUGCUGCCCUGUGUGUGCCUUCGUGUGUGUAGGGUUUUGUGUUGGCCCCAUGUUACUGGGCUUCUGUGAAGCCGAGGGUCGCUGCUCGGACGCGCUUUUCCCCCUAGCAAUCCCUCAUUGUUGGGGCUUCGAUAUUUUCUGGAAACGUGCAACGUGUGCCUGGCCAUUUCCCUCUGUUGAGGGGAAUCGAUGUGUGGGUUGUAAUAUGUAUUAAUUCCCCGGGGGGACAUUGAACUGUUUCCUCUGCCCAGGUGGAAAGGGAUAAACACAGCCACUGACAUGCUGUUUAGUCUGAAAAUAGCCCGCUGAAUGCAUAAUGAAGAGCCUCCCGAGGAGUUACUCUGCAUGUUAAAAUGGUGUUCAGCAGCCUGUGCUGUCACACAACAUAAUUUGAAGAUGAAUGUGCAUCCAAUCAGCCUGCCGGUGGCUGACUGUCACCGUCUGGCCAUGAGCACUACCUGCCCGUUCGGCGGCAGCUCCAUGAAGCACGGAGUUCGUCGGUCCCCGAAUUACGCCUCGUGCACGAGCAAGACAAACGAGGAGCUCCGUGCUCAGCACCCGCUUCAUCCUCAGUGGCCGCUCGGCUUUCACCAGCGAGGACAAAGGAAAAUGAGCAUUUUUCUGCAGCAGGGGGGAAGCACACCCCCAAAUUUAAGCCUGACAGCCCAGGUUUCUUGGGGCAGGCGCUGCAUCCUCCCGUGCGGGCGGUCCCCGCCUGCGCCGCGGUGGAAAUUGUCAGCCUUGAUCCUGUAAAGCGUGAGCCGGCGCCUGAGCAAAACGGCUCACGCCGGAGUCAAUUGACAAGUGGCUUCUGCUGUUUAAUUCACAGCCCGGCAACAACACUUGCAUGAAUGAUAUGUAGACACCACUUUUGUCUGUGAGCGUUUGACAGCAAUUAGGGCUUCACUCCAGGGGCAGGCCAUCACGCUAACGCUGGAGUGCUGCAGGAGGAGGUGAGGGUAAAGAAAUUAGCCAUCUGUCUGGUGGAGGCUGUAUCCUCCAGGAGGCAGUUAGAUGUCAACAACAGGCGAAAUGUUUCCA